GCAUGGCCCUGCAGGCGGACAGCGGGGCAGCCUCGGGGAGUCCAGGGGCCCCGGCCGCGAAGAGGGCGGGGAGAGGACCAGGCCUGGCCGCCCCACGGGAGCUUCCUUCUCCUCCCCCUGCACCCCUGCCGGGGAACCUCGCGGCGUCGGGGACCUUUCCGCAGCCCUGCUGUUCCUGACCCAGAGUCCGCGCUGGGAGGCUGGGAUGGGCGGGCUCUGUGAUGGCCAGGAUGCAGUCUGAGCCGCGGGCGCGAGGCAGCUCUGGUCUGGGGCGUGAGAUGCGCUGCGCACGCAGGAAGGGAGGCUACAGCCAGGUGGGAGCCGAGCGCUCACCCGUGGGAUCCUGGCUGUUGGGACACACAGGGGAGCGGGGGCAGGUGUCCUAGACCCGGGGAGAGGCCCGGAGGGGAGGACUGGAAGCUGCUGCGGAAGCCAGCAUCUUCCAUCACAAUGUGUUCGCUCUGUUGGAUUUAUAAGAUACAUCCAGAUGGAGCCCGCACCUUGGGAAAUUGUUGAAAUCUUCUGAUAGCGCACAGACUGCUCCAGAAGUGUCAGUUUUAAACCAUCCUCACGUAUAAAGUUCGCUCAGAGGAGACUCGUGCGCGUGACUUGUGUCCUGCUCCCUGUCCGGGGCCCCCUGGCCUCGCCUCGGCUCGGUCAGGCGCUGUUGUCUGGACACAAACUCCCCUCAGUGACGGCACUUUGCUGGGCACAUGUUACAGAGGCUUCAGCUGAUGUGCUCGCCCUGCAGCUUUGUACCAUGAAGGGUCUGAAGAGUAAGGCCCCGAAGCCCCGUUUCUUUAAGCAUUUAAUUGCGUUAUUUAACAUGGGUUGACUUUUCACAGGACCGGGACCGUUGUGUUUAAGGAAAUGGUCCCACUUUGAGCACAUUCAGUUCAAGGAGAAUGGCUAAGAAUAUUUCAAUGCAGAGACUCCACAAAGAGAUGGCUAACAUUACUUCACAGUGGGCCCAGGUGUUUCCUGUUGGAUAGCAGAUAAAACCAGUGUCCGAUGAUCAGCAUGGGAACUUCAGUGAGAAGUAAGUAAAAACAGUGCUGUGAACCGCAAAGAUACCUGGAAGACAGAAGGCUCUCAGUGAAUAGCUAUUGGUAUGAUUUAUCAGCUCGUCUCCGUGCUUUAUCAGCCUGUGAAUCAAAGUCCUGUUGGGUGAGCCAUGCAUCUGACUCCGGUACCCAUUAGAAAGACACCUGACCAGUGGAAUCUCAAGGAGUUAGAUCCUGCCAAGCUCCCAGUUACAGUCUCAGAAGUAAAAUCCUUUAUUCUGCCUAUCUGCAGGUGACCAGAAGGGUUCUGGCCAAGUUCAGAAAACCAUGAAAACGAUGAAAGGUCCCCCAGCAGCCCCGCAUUCUGAGUUAGUGUAGUGCACAUAUUGAAGUAGGUACUCAGUACAUAACUUGCUGAAUAUAAUGAAUGAACCACGCCAUUUAGUUAUACACCAUUGCUUCCGGGAUAUUUAUGUACAGUGACCAUGUUGCUAGAUAAAUGUUUUCAGUGACAUAAAGCGAGGCAAUACAAUCUGAUACAAAUUAUUCCCAGCCAUGCUGUUCAAAAAACUCAUCUGGCAAGUAGGGGCCAGUAUUGACAAAGAUUAAUCAGCCUAUCUCUUUUUUUUGCUGGUGACAGCAUUAUAAUUGUAAAUCAUGCCCAGAGGCUGGAAAGUAAAUUCCAAGAAGUGUAGAUGGAAGUAUGCCCACUGCAGUCUGCACACACCAAUGACAAAGCGAGCGUGUACAUGCGUGUGCACACACACGAAACGUCAAGAUAAAAAUGGUGCAUUAAGAAGAAUGGCUCAAGAGGAAGAUGAUAAGGUGGGUUCCCAUUAGCCGAAUGCAUGCAUUAAGGUGAAUGAUGAUUCAUCUCCCACGAGGGAGAAGAAGGAACCUCCCUAGUCCGUCAUGUCAUUCUGUUUUCCGAGAGAUAAAGUCAGGAUGUUGAGCAGCAGAUCUUACUGGGGAAGAGAGUCAGCGGUCAGCAGGUUUAGGUGCAGUGAGGUCCCUGAAGUGAGUGUAAGAAUUAUCGCUUCCUUGACUAUGAAGAUCUCAUUCUGCUGCCCUCCCCCGCCUGGCUUCUGUCCCGUGUCCUCUAAUGAGCCUUUUCUCAGGACCAGCCAGCUUGACCUCACGGUUGCUGAAGCUGACCUCCUAUCUGUUGGUUUCUGUAAAGAAUCGUGCAGAGUUUUCCUGUGUCCUGGUUACCCUGAACUUGUAUUUUCUCUUGUGGUAUUAUUUAAUUUUCACCUGUUUACAUAUGACCUUGCCAAUCAGAGCGUUAGGUGUGGAGGUCAAGAACCACAUGUAGGGUGCACUUUUCUCUCUCCCCCCGCCUUAACUCCUUGUGCUAAGGAGUGAACGCUGUGAUCGUAAUGUCAUGUGGUCCUUGUGAGACAGGUUUCUUCCUGUGAGCCUUUAUUUUUGCUCUUGGGUGUUGCUGGAUAUGUUUAUGCCUGAAUGUAGACUGCGACCUUGGAUCUAUGAGACAGCCAGGAUCUGGGAGCAAGGAUCAUGGGACACUCUGUAAGACUGUGAAGAGAGCUGGACUGUAUGAACUCUCCGGCCCAUCCCAGCUCUGGCUCCCGUGAUUGUCCGGAAACAAAUACAUGGAUGGCACAGGGCCUGGACCUCAUGGUGGUCAGGAGCUGCGCCUGAGAACUCAGGAUCACGAGCAGGAUGGAUUUUCUAGAGACCACCACCUCUGCAGAGACCUGGACUUGUGCCGCCCAGAAAGUAGAAAACCUCCUGACCUUCAACACAUUUCUAAAUAGAAGGCAAAGCUUCCUGGAGGACAGGAGAACACCGAGUCACCACUCGCAGGACCUUCUUCCUCUAGCCUAACCUUAGGCUUCCUAUUGCUCGUGAUCUCAGACGAGCUUCCUUGGGUAUGAGUUGGUGCUGCCAGCUGUUCUUUACUACUGCCUGAUACUUCCACAAGACCAAGCCUCAGAAUGCACUGUGCUCAGAAGGCAGAGGGAAGCCAGCCAGAUGGGUCACUCACCAGCCUCUCCAUUCCCUGCGACCACUGAUUCACUCCACAGACUCUGGGGACCCUGAACCCUGCUCUUUAGAGCUCGAGGAUAAGGAGAAGGGUGUAGUAACACAUCAUGGUCGGUCUCCAUUGUGGUCCAGUGCUGGGAGGAGUCCACCCAGCUGGACCGCAGGGCCUGGUGUGGUGUCCUGCUCCUGGAAGGUGGCCAAGCCAUCUUGGAUGGGGGACGGUAUUCAGGCCACUGGAGUGAGUGCACUGCUGACAGAGCGGAGGCAGAAAGUGGAGGCGAUGCUUGGUGUGUCUGACAGCUUAGGACCCACCCAGCCAACUGGAGUCCAGAGAGAAGCUGGUUGAAGAGAGAUGAGGGAUUGGGAAGGAACAAUUUGCCAUGUCUGGGCCAGGACAGGGCUGCCAGGCCAAUCAGAAUCUGUGAUUUAAUUGGGAGCUACUUUAACACUGCAUAUGAUAUACUUGGCUCCAAAUGUAGGACAUAUGGCCCGAAAACUGUGGAUCCUGCAGAAGCCCUGGGGACAGGGUGGGCUCUCAUUGUCAGGAGUCCGGGAGAGAGGUGCAGGAAGCAGAAUUCAGUCCCAGACCCAGCGAGGAUCUCAGACACCAACUCUAAACUGAGAGCUUCCUUUUAUAAACAGAGAAGCCAAGAUCCAGACAGCCUAAAGUUGUUUUUUCCUUUACAUUUUGGUUUUGUUUUGAAGAUUUUUUUUCAUGACAAGGACUGAGGUCUCAUAGAUUAUUAGUUUUUCAUUUUACAGUAGAGUGUUCUUCUGUAAUUGUACAAAAUCUAUAUUGACUUCAUAAAAUGGUUUGAGAGAUUGCUUAAAACAAUAGAUCUUUGAUAUCAGUUCCUUUGAUUUAUUGCUCAUUAAAAGUGAAUUUAAUUGAU